rnacentral:rRNA from 1 species
UUGGAGGGCAAGUCUGGUGCCAGCAGCCGCGGUAAUUCCAGCUCCAAUAGCGUAUAUUAAAGUUGUUGCAGUUAAAAAGCUCGUAGUUGAAUUUCGGGGUCAGUAGGUUGGUCAUGCCACUGGUAUGUACUGGUCUCACUGAUUCCUCCUUCCUGAUGAACUGUAAUGCCAUUAAUUUGGUGUUGCAGGGAAUCUGGACUGUUACUUUGAAAAAAUUAGAGUGUUUAAAGCAGGCUAACGCCUGAAUACAUUAGCGUGGAAUAAUGAAAUAGGACGUUCGAUCCUAUUUUGUUGGUUUCUAGGAUUGACGUAAUGAUUAAUAGGGAUAGUUGGGGGCAUUAGUAUUCAAUUGUCAGAGGUGAAAUUCUUGGAUUUAUUGAAGACUAACUACUGCGAAAGCAUUUGCCAAGGAUGUUUUCAUUAAUCAAGAACGAAAGUUAGGGGAUCGAAGACGAUCAGAUACCGUCGUAGUCUUAACCAUAAACUAUGCCGACUAGGGAUCGGAUGAUGUUAAUUUUUUAAUGACUCAUUCGGCGCCUUACGGGAAACCAAAGUGUUUGGGUUC